rnacentral:rRNA from 1 species
UACAGAGGUCUCAAGCGUUGUUCGGAUUCAUUGGGCGUAAAGAGUUCGUAGGCGGCAUGACAAGUAGGGUGUGAAAGCCCUCGGCUCAACCGAGGAAUUGCGCUCUAAACUGUCGUGCUUGAGGAACCUAGAGGUGAGCAGAACAGAUGGUGGAGCGGUGAAAUGCGUAGAUAUCAUUUGGAACGCCAAUGGUGAAAACAGCUCGCUGGGGGUUUGCUGACGCUGAGACACGAAAGCCAGGGGAGCAAACGGG